rnacentral:rRNA from 1 species
CUGACCGAGCAACGCCGCGUGAGUUGAAGAAGGUUUUCGGAUCGUAAAGCUCUGUUGUAAGUCAAGAACGUGUGUGAGAGUGGAGAGUUCACACAGUGACGGUAGCUUACCAGAAAGGGACGGCUAACUACGUGCCAGCAGCCGCGGUAAUACGUAGGUCCCGAGCGUUGACCGGAUUUAUUGGGCGUAAAGGGAGCGCAGGCGGUCAGGAAAGUCUGGAGUAAAAGGCUAUGGCUCAACCAUAGUGUGCUCUGGAAACUGUCUGACUUGAGUGCAGAAGGGGAGAGUGGAAUUCCAUGUGUAGCGGUGAAAUGCGUAGAUAUAUGGAGGAACACCAGUGGCGAAAGCGGCUCUCUGGUCUGUCACUGACGCUGAGGCUCGAAAGCGUGGGUAGCGAACAGGAUUAGAUACCCUGGUAGUCCACGCCGUAAACGAUGAGUGCUAGGUGUUAGGCCCUUUCCGGGGCUUAGUGCCGGAGCUAACGCAAUAAGCACUCCGCCUGGGGAGUACGACCGCAAGGUUGAAACUCAAAGGAAUUGACGGGGGCCCGCACAAGCGGUGGAGCAUGUGGUUUAAUUCAAAGCAACGCGAAGAACCUUACCAGGUCUUGACAUCCCGAUGCUAUUCUUAGAGAUAGGAAGUUACUUCGGUACAUCGGAGACAGGUGGUGCAUGG